AUUGAACGCUGGCGGCAUGCUUUACACAUGCAAGUCGAACGGCAGCGGGGAGGAGCUUGCUUCUCUGCCGGCGAGUGGCGAACGGGUGAGUAAUACAUCGGAACGUGUCGAGAAGAGGGGGAUAACCACCCGAAAGGGUGGCUAAUACCGCAUAAAUUCUGAGGAAGAAAGCUGGGGACCUGGGAAUAGGCCUAGCGCUUUUUGAGCGGCCGAUGUCGGAUUAGCUAGUUGGUGAGGUAAAGGCUCACCAAGGCGAAGAUCUGUAGCGGGUCUGAGGGGAUGAUCCGCCACACUGGGACUGUGACACGGCCCAGACUCCUACGGGAGGCAGCAGUGGGGAAUUUUGGACAAUGGGGGCAACCCUGAUCCAGCCAUGCCGCGUGUAUGAAGAAGGCCUUAGGGUUGUAAAGUACUUUUGUUAGGGAAGAAAAGUCAGCUGUGAAUAAUGGCUGAUACUGACGGUACCUAAAGAAUAAGCACCGGCUAACUACGUG
rnacentral:rRNA from 1 species